UACAGAGGGGGCAAGCGUUGUUCGGAAUUACUGGGCGUAAGGGGCGCGUAGGCGGCCUUCUAAGUCGAACGUGAAAUCCCCGGGCUCAACCCGGGAACUGCGUCCGAUACUGGAAGGCUUGAAUCCGGGAGAGGGAUGCGGAAUUCCAGGUGUAGCGGUGAAAUGCGUAGAUAUCUGGAGGAACACCGGUGGCGAAGGCGGCAUCCUGGACCGGCAUUGACGCUGAGGCGCGAAAGCCAGGGGAGCAAACGGG
rnacentral:rRNA from 1 species